GAUGCCACACGAAGCUUGUCCCAGGACAAUAUUGCAGAGGGUCAGGAAUUCACAGAACAGGCAGGCCAGGAUACAGUGGACACAGCAGUCUUCAUUUUCAGUUGGGAGGAGACCACACAGUCAGAGAAAGAAGGAACACAAAAUAUAUGAAUCAUUAGUAAGCUGAAUAAUACUUGAUAAAAAUUGUCACUAGGCAGACUACAUGGCAUGAACUGAGAUACAAAUUAUCCAACAGUAUUUUCUUCAGUUCAUCAGAUGAGGUCUCCAUCCAGGCUUUACCUUGUCUAGAAAGCUGACACUGCUGACCCUUCCUUCCCUGUGUACUCCUUCAUGAUGAUGAUGAUAACAGCAUCCAAGUACUUCAUUCAGGCCAGGCUCUGUUAGAACUAAAACUGAAUGCAAUAUCAACUCAAAUACUCUUCCAACCAUCCUAUGAUACAGAGAAAGAAGCAUGAGGCGGGGAGAAGGUAUGACACGGUAAACACAGACUUUCAUUGGGAGCAAGAUUAACCUGAAGGAGUGGUAGCAGCGAACUCUUCCACGCACAGCCAACAAGGACUCAUCUAACAAGGUCCACAGCUGCGGGGUGCUACUAGUGACGAUGGUAGGGAGCUAAUAGGAGAUUUCCAUGUUUGACCCUUUACCAACCUCAUGUGGUAGUGAGGGAAGGGACUCCUUCCACCUACAUUCUCGAGAUGCAGAAGCUGAAGCUGGAUGAACCACAAACAGCACAGUCCUUAGCCUUCCCUCUGCUCCCCGCCAACGUGAGAAUCACUGCCAGGUGCUCUGAAGAUCAGUUCUGCAGCCCUCAGCACACUGCUUGACUUUUCUGAGCUCAAUGUCAUCUACAGACAGAGCUCCUCUUCCUUCUACACAACAUUUCUGGUCUAUGAUCCAUAGCCCUUGGAACAUGAAGUGAGAAGAUGGAUGGUAUGGUUGGCUAUCGAAGUUUCAGCAUAAGUUUGGCAGAUACUGUAUAAGUUCACAGAACUUAGGGGAUAUUAAAAGAUCAUUUGCAACUCCAAGAUGGCCAUGAAAAAAUGGUAGGUGAAGUGAAGGAGGAGAUGAGAGACUAUGGGGAAAAAGUAAAUCGUUAGCAGGUUAGGCAUAAUUAAGGUAAAGUGUAGGA